UACGGAAGAUGCGAGCGUUAUCCGGAUUUAUUGGGUCUAAAGGGAGCGUAGGCGGUCUUUUAAGUCAGCGGUUGAAUGUCAGUGCCCAACAUUGGCGUGCCGUUGAAACUGGAGGCCUUGAAUACACACAAGGAAGGCGGAAUUCGUCGUGUAGCGGUGAAAUGCUUAGAUAUGACGAAGAACUCCGAUUGCGAAGGCAGCCUUCUGGGGUGCGAUUGACGCUGAGGCUCGAAAGUGCGGGGACCAAACA
rnacentral:rRNA from 1 species